UGGCGCAGUGGUAGCGCGCUCCCUUGACAUGGGAGAGGUCAUAGGUUCAAAUCCUAU
rnacentral:tRNA from 1 species